GAAGAAGGCGGGGGGUGUGCUUAACACAUGCAAGUCGAACGGCAAGGCCCCCAUCUUGGUGGGGGUGCUCGAGUGGCGAACGGGUGAGUAACACGUGGGUGAUCUGCUCCUUAUUUCGGGAUAAGCUUGGGAAACUGGGUCUAAUACCGGAUAGUACCACGGUCUAGUGUCUCCUGGUGGUAAGAUUAUUGUUUUGGUGCAGGUUGACCUCGGGGCCUGUCAGCUUGUUGGUGGGGUAAUGGCCUACCAAGGCGUCGGCGGGUAGCCGGCCUGGGCGGGUGGACGGCCAGGAUGGGACUGAGGGACGACCCAGACUCGGACGGGAGGCGGGGGGGAGGAAGAUUGCACAGUGGGAGCAAGACUGAUGCAGCGAGGCCGCGUGGAGGAUGACGGCCUUCGGGUAAUAAACUCCUUUCGGUAGGGACGAAGCCGCACUUUUAUUGGGUGUGGUGACGGUACCUUUGUGAAGAAGCACCGGCUAACUACGUG
rnacentral:rRNA from 1 species